rnacentral:sRNA from 1 species
GAUACAGAUACGCAGAGAUAGAUGGGGGCAUUAGUAGUGGCAAGUGGACGUAAUAGAUUGUUUAAAUGUGGUUCAAGUUCUGGUUUAAGUUCGCCCACUGCUCUUGGCAGCGAAAUCGGAUUACAUUCGCCACCACAAAAACAAUAAACAAAAUCUUCUGCGGUCUGCCGCCCCGCCCAUUGUAUCUGUCAUAAUCGAGCCACGGAGCUCAUGAACCAGAUACAAAAACCCGAAUAGGUUACAUUUUGGCACAUUGCGGAUAUUUCAGAGAUAUUUUGACAGUCAGGAAGGAUAAUCAUCGCCUCUAGCCUAGCUACACUGUAAAUUAUUUGCUGAAAAUAUCCAAUUACCCAUUGAAGUUAUGUUUCCGCACUUAAGACUUCUUAAACAAGUUGUUUUAUAUAUUAAAAUAUAUCUUUGAUAUUCGAAAUAAAGUGUAAUCAACAGUGCCACAUCUCAUUAAGUAGACAUUUUUCACCACCGCGUUUUCUGCUGGUUGGCAAAUUGUCAAGUCUCAAAUUACGGCGCCAAAAGCUGCGCUGGGGCAUAAAAAUUAAAUAAUAGCAACUCGCUGCGUGGGGCGUUAAGCAGGGGGGCGUGGCAUAAGGGUCUUAGGCAUUUUCAGUGGGCCAAAAACGUUGCCAAGUAAUUUGGCCCAACGAGGAGGCCACAUAAACCCGAUUUUAAUUAAAAGCGCCUCGCAAAAGAACAGGAAUAAAAUAAAUAUAUAAAGGACCAACCGCGCACACACGCGUAGGUAGAGCUUUUAUCUGUAUUUUUGCGACAGCUCUCCUUGGCCCGAAAUCAUUUCAAUCAAAUUUUUAUGGACGCCACUGGCAGCGACAAGAACAUUAAAUAAAUGAUGAAAAUUCAUAGGAAUUCGGGCCAGGCGAUUGAAAUUCAUGGAUGCUUUUGUAGCACGGGUCCAGCCAUCGGGAUUAGCUUAAGUGCAGAGAAAGGACACAGGUGCGCAAAACAGGGUCAUAUCCUGUUUAAGUCGCAGCAAUAAAAAUAAAUUUGCAUAAAGAACACCACGAACUAAUUGAAUCACCAAAGUUCGCCAAAGUGCCGAGCGACCUUAGCUGCAAUUAAACCAAAAAUGCGUAGCAAGAGUGACUUUAAAUCCUGGGAAAUCAGGACGAAAACGCUCUGCGGUCGGGGAUAAACCUCCAGCUAAACAUGCUUCGUCCCACUCUGAUUCGUUCUUUUAUUUAUUCAUUCAGUUAAUUCGAAAUCAGCAGCAGAAAAUUAGUUUUUCUUCUCUUGGCUUCUCUGGCUCAACCAAAACCCAAAAAAUAGAGAAGAAAGUAGCGCGGAAACGGUUGGGGUAAUUAUGCGGGGUCAUUAACAAGACAAGAUCUAAGGAGGCCCAGCCACUGGAGCCGCCUUGGAGCCCCCGAAGUCCGCUGACAGCUCAGUGAGAUUGAUGCGAGCAGGACAUAUGUUGCAACUAGUCCAGUUGAGUCCUUGGCUGGACCAGAAAGUGUGAUACACAAAAGUGUCGAACAGAAUCGUCAGUGCCGCCUACUAUUUUAUACAAAAUGUAGCUAAAAUUCAAAGAGGAUUGAUUUCCAUAUCUUAUUUAAAUAAUUCAAAUAUUCAAAAAAUGUAUCUUUUGAAAGAAGAUCUAUUUGGAAUACCCCAGUUUCUAACUGCCAAGUUAUACCUAUAUCUAACCAGAAAGACGCUAAACCAAGCAGCACCGCCUCCGAGCUCAGACGAUUGCCAUUUGGCAGUGUUUAUGUGGAAUUAGCAAAGUGAGCAGACAGAAAAGCAGCAACUGCACUUGCUGGGAAAGCAGCUGCAGCAGUGAACUUGAUUUGCCCUUAGCCAAGGACUUUUCCCGGAGUCCUGCCGGCAUUUUGAGCUUGAGCUUGAGACGGAAAAUAUUAAAAUAUCUACGCGCGGCAGCAGCAGCAAAGAUCAUUUAUCAGCAAUUUUUUAGCAGCAUUCCAUGGCUGCCAUUUGGAGCCAUUGCCAUUGCUGCCUUCCACAAUUUAUGAACACGAAUGCAAUCCGCUUUUCGCAUGGCAAUGGCCAUGGCCAUGGCAGUGGAAUUGCCAGGACUCCCAAGGAGUGGGGAAACUGCGGAGAGAAGCUGGCCAUUUGUACAAAUAAUCAAACAGAGAAGUUGGCUAAAGGGAUAAAACCAGACUCUAUUCGAGUCGAAUGCAAGACAAACAUCAAAACCGCAUUCAAGGUUAUGUAUCAAGCGGGAUGAGCACGGAAUACGGCGGACUCGAACUCCAAGGAUGCAGGAUGCACGACGCACAGGAUGUGAAUGUGGGAUUCAGGAUGCGCACAAUGCAUGCUCAGACACGCUCGAGUACACGGGCAAAUCCUGGCAGCAACACAACAGUAAAUCAUCAUCAACGCAGCGCACGAACCGAGAGUUGCCAAAGGAGCAGGUGCAGCAGGUCCUUAGUAAGGUGAAUCCUUGGCCGGGUCAGUUUCAGGAUUACAUCAACGGUAAUACUAUGACACAAUCGGAAUAUAGUGGACGAUUGUCCAUUAAAAACCUUUUGAUUAUUGAACACUUAAUACACAUUUAGUGACAUAUGUUUAUGUAGUACGUAAUCUAAUACAUAAUCAUGGUUAACACUAUUAAUAUUCCCGAUUUCAUAUUAUUCCAGUAUCCAGUAAUUUCAUUCUACACUUUCCAGAGUUCACUGUACCCCAUUCGUUUGCUCAUCCUGAUUGCUGACCAGAGUCCAGGAUCACGAGUUGAGAGCCAGGAAUGACGAGGAUGGGUCGAAAUCACAUUGGCACAAGUGGAUAAGGAAAUAAAUGUUUGGCUUUGGCUGCCCAAGGAUGUGCGCAUAAAUCAAGGAUUUGUUUGCGGAUUGUUUCGACUACUCCGAGGCACAAAGGUAGUUGACUCGGAGCGUCUUAGAUUUAGACGUAGCAUUGACCUUUUGGCCUUCGCUUAGGGCGGCCACGUGGCGUAUGCGUAAUCUGUCCUAAUUGAAUUAAGCCGUGACAUAAUCCCCAAUCCACCAAGCAAGCGGGCUUAAAGUCAAUAUGUGCUGGGAAUCUAUGCAAAUUUCUUUAGCUAUAUAUUUUUUACUCCAGCUUAUUGAAAAGCAGCUGGGGUUUGAUUUUCCUGCGUCUUCAUAACCCGCCAGUCGUGUGGAAAAUUGCAUUUUACCACCUUUUCUUUGGCAGCCAAGACAGGACAUUACCAAAGGACCAAAGGAGCAGCAGAGGCAGGGAGCGCAAAUCCCAGUUAGUAGCCAACGACUUGAAAGGGUUUCGGGCGUAAUGCAAACUUACUGCCAAGAAAUAUAGACUUAAAGCUGCCCAUUAAAAGUUGGAGUUGCCUGCAGUGCCCAUAAAUGGGAUAAUGAGUGUUCCAGGAACCCCAUGUUCACCAGAAGCUGGAGGAGUUCAGCUCGAAGACGAAGUGCACGCAGAAUAGGCCAAGUUUUGUGGUCGAAGGGACGAACUAUUCAAGGAUCCCUCACAUGUGUGCAGCUGCUGGCCAAGGAAAGGACAUUCACUGGAUUCUAUGGAAGACCGCCCGCAGCGAGGAAAUCGACAAGUUUGUCGGGUUCAAUGGAGCCCAUUAAAAACUACUCAAAAUGUCAGCGGGAGUGAAAGCCACAUGGGCGAUGCGUCAAAGGACGACCACAAAAUGUAACAAAUUUGCUUAAUUUGCCGACCUCAAAUAUAGUUUCGUGUUUAACUCAACAGUCUGCACGGCACAAAAUCAAGUUUACUGAUUCAAAUAAAAUAAAUUUACGUAAGAAAGUAAACACAACGUAGAAAAUAAUAUUAUUUAACGCUUUGAAAAGAUAAAUUCUAAAUAAGUAAGACAUCAUUGAAUUGCUAAGAAUCUUUUUCGAUAAAAAAAAAACUGUUCUUUUUUCUGUGUGUCAAGGAAAACCAGUUCUUCAAAUGAAAAGCGGUGGAAAGAAGACCGGAAAAGCGGGGAAGGCAACAACGGAAGUGAAGGAAAAAAGUAAUUGAAAACAAAAGUCAAAGAAUUUGCAUAUUUAUUUGACGCACAGCCUCAGACUUCGACUUUGGCCACAAGUCAAUAUUUAUUUAUGCGUGCGGCAAAUUUAAAUGAGUGAAAAGCUGACGAGGCAGAAGGAAACUAGAGUGCAGCGGGCUAUGCGAUUUGCAGCACCUCUCUUUGUUUUGCAUUAAUUAGAAUUUAACAAAAAUAAAUGCUGGGUAAUUGAAAACUUUCGCCCGUCUACCCAGCGAAUCCCCCAUUAUGCUCAUUAAUUCCAUUCGCGGAGCGAAAAUACGAAAAUACAUAUCUCCGCCUCCACGCCGCUCAUUUAAUUAACUCAAUUUGAGCGGAAGGAAAGUCAUCAUCAAGACAUCAAGAGGGAGCCACUGGGAUUGGGAACUGCCUCCAGGUGCUCUGAAUUUGGUACCCCGUAAUAUUUGGUGCACGGAGUUGGGGGGAAACCCCGUUUUUCCCAUUUUCCCUUUGACUAUUCAAACAAUUAAGUGCUGAUGGCUGGUAAUUUUUUCCCAGUUUCCUCGCAGAGGAGCAGCUGCAACUUUAUUAAGCAAAAUUUAAUGGCGGUUGCCGUGCUCCGCCCCCCUCAAACUAUUUUCCCCCCUCGCAUCCUGUCGUUUUUCAUUAGCGCCGCCAACUGACUUGCAACAAUUGUUGCACAAACAACAAGCUCACGAAACUUUGGCUGCAAUAUUUUCCGUAGGAGAAGCUUCCUUUUUUUUGCCGCUUCAUGUUGAGCAAUUAGUUUGACUGGACUUUUCCGGGCACGCUGCUGCUGUGUCCAUUUGCCAAACGUCUAAUUGGACUUGCUAAAGAUUUCUACAGAGAUUUGGGGCAAGUUUUUUCAUUUGCCGGCACUCCCAGUUGUUCGCUUUUUUCCCGGCUAAUAAUUCAGAGGAUCCCCCUAUUCUUUCAUUCUUGCUCAAAUCUUCUUCUCUACUUAAUUUUGUUUGGCUUUAUUAAUAAUUUAGGGGAGAAAGGGCUUUCAUUCAUAAUGGAAUUACUUUCGGCAUUGGUCAGGCAACCAAUCAAUAUUGAAGGGUCCCAAAUCCUUUCAAACAGCAUUUGCUCAAUGAACAGGACUUUAGCCGGACUUUUGGCGAACUUUUUUCUUAAUACCUUUAUUGUGAUAUUUAGGUAUCUUUAUAAAUAACAAAUAGCGGGAGGGAACUGCCAGAAAGCUGAAAAGUAUGCAAUACCCUUGAGGUAAAGUGCUGAGGCCCAUAAAAAACUCGCGGUUAGAACACAAAAUUUUAUGAUGCAUCCAAAUGCCAGCGAACGAGAGAGAUGGCACGAUCCACACGGAAAGGGACAGAGCACCCGAGUGUUGCUUAAAUGUCAAUCUAUCUGUCUGACUGUCAAUUUCAGCAAUUGCAGCGGCGACGUCGGCAGAGGCUAAAUGCGUUGAAGGAAAAUUUCAUUUGCAGAUAUCGUGCUGUCAUUUAAUAAACGAAAUGUGAGACGGGGAUGUGCGAAAGAGACGGCCGGGUGGGGCAGAAAGAGACGGACGGACAGACGGACAAACGCAGCGAUGCAGUAACAGAUAUUGGCAACACUUUUCCCACAGACAUUGAAAAGAUUGAGAGAGACGGGUAGUGUAAAAUGGAAAGAGAGAGGGCGAGCACACACACAUGUAGAGGAAGUGCGGCAGACUGGAGAAAAAACCAAAUGCUGAGCGACAGGCGGAGAAAAGGGGGUUGGGAAGGGGGUCUGGAUUGAACGGGAAGGAAAUUUCUCAGCGGGACAUCACGUAGGUGAAUGCACCCAUUGUAUAAAACCAGCGCAAGGCAGACAACUUUCACAGAUAUGCGGGUACACUUGGAAAAACAGGAGAGAAUGCUGAUGUCGAGUGUCGCGACUAUCAUAUACCCGGUAGUCAGAUAGUGAAGCUCUAAAUAAGCUCUAAGCUCUAAAGCAAAUUACUGUGGGAAUAUAGGAAUAAUUUUUCGCAGUGUACGUGUGCAUUUCAGAUUGGUUUUCUGUGUGUGCGUUCGCGGGUGAGUUUUGUGUAAAUCCCGCUCGUCGCCAACUAAAUGCCAAUUUCAGAAAAUGACGCGGAAAAAAGGAAGGCACACCGUGUAGCUGACACGCAAUGCAUAAUACAGGGGGAGGAGGGCAGAUGGGCUCUGGAAAGGUGGACUCAAGGCGCGGAGGAGCAUGACCAAAACCUGAGGCGGCCUCCCUCAUCCGCCCCAGCCAACAAAUAUAAAUAAUUGACAAUGACAGAGCGCAGCAAAAGACCAGCGCCAGGAACAACAAAUUUAAAAUCAUUCUCGUGUCGAGGAGACAGGCCAGAAAUCAACGAGGGGCACAAGGUGGGCAAGUCACCAUCAAUCUGUCAAAUAUUUCCACGCUAAAAGUCAAAACUCCUUACGAAAAUAGAGCUCGUCUUUUUCACUUAGGCGAGGGGAAUAUGAUGUCGAAAAAUAUUGACACACAGUAAUGAUGCCAAAUUAGUUUGACAAAUGCAUCCAAGUUAUAGAUACAGUACAGCAUUAAUAAUUAUAAAUAAAAUUAUAAAUGUAAACUUAUAUUUUUUAUUACAAUUUUAUGUAUAAAUACGCUUAGGUUAAAGAGUUUCAUUGUGCUCAUUCUCAAUAUAUAAUGUGUAACUACAUCCUCCAGGAUUCCCAGAAAAGAAGGAAAUGAAAUUGAUAUUGAUGGAAACCAAGGCAGACUUGGGCAUAAUUUCAACAUGCUGACCUGUCAACGCUACGAAUGGCCGAUGGCAAAGGGCCAAGAACACUGUUCAACACUUCAUUAGAGCCGUCGUGGAGUGGAGAAGGCCCAGGCCCAGGCCAGGACGGGCAGGGAAUCCUUCGCCAAGGACCGCAAAUAUUUUGCCAGUUUACACGACUUAUUUAGCAGCAGCGGAUCAAAGGGGGUUCCCAAGUCACGAGCGCCUUUUGAUUGAUUGAGCAGAGCCCCGGGGAACAGAAGCGCAGACGAAGUCCAAAAGCCCAAGUCAAAAGGUUUUUUGUUAAGCAAAUUGUGGCUGGCAUUGUGAAAGGUUUCCUAAGCAGUUUGGGCAAAGGCCUGACAUUUUGUUUUCGAUUGUGAGGGGAUUUGUAAGGGGAUUUGCAGAGGCAGCAAAUAAAGUGGGGCGAAAGUGUGUAAAUAUUAGAAAGAGUAACCCUUAAAAAUGUGCAUAUAUAAAUACAUUAAAAUAAACUAUUCAAAUGGUUUUCAAAUAAACUUUCUCAUUUAGUUCUUAAGUUUCUUAAAGAUCCCACUGUACCAUCAGCUAAAAAAGCGUUGCAUACUUUCAGGCUCAUCACUUCUUUAUCGAUAAGAAUUUUGCAUGCAAUUUCUGCGCUGUCUUUCUUGCUGUUUUCCCGCUUGCCUAAGCACAUUUAUUCGUUUUGUCUGACAACCUUUCGCAAAAUGAAGGCCGAGGGGCUGACGAGGAGAAUUGGGAACGACUAUCAUCAGCACCCACACAAGCAAACCUCAAUGCAACUAAAAAACGGAAAAAAAGAGGAAAAUUGGCAAAUGGAAAAUCUGCGCCCGGCAGCCAAAAACAUAAAACUUUGCACAUUCAUUGGGUUCGCUACUUUUUCCUUUAGAUUUUUUGUUUUCAGUUCUCCUUUGCUGCUGCGACAAUUUUCCAGCAGUGGGAAAAUUGUGCGCUUUCUUAAUUUAAUGAAAAUUUUCCACUUGGUCGAUUGACAUUUUGUGUUCUUUGUCGUUUUACUUUUUACUUUUACCUCCGCCCGCGAAACUCGUGGGUGUUGCAAGUUGCAAAGUUUCCUCUGAGGUUUGGCAAAUAAACACACAAAUUUACUUAGCUUUCUGGGUGGGAAAACGAGGAAAAUGGGCGGGAAAUGGCGAAAAGUCGCUGCACACUCUGCGGCGGCUGGCGCGCAACUUUUAUCAUUUUGCCUUUGUUUGGAGCGUGUAAUCAAAUGCAUAUUUGCAUGCCACCCACCUCCGCAAAACCCUUAAGCUUUGCCUUCGCCUUUUGUAUAAUUUUCUGCAAGACUUGCGAAAAUCUUGCAAAGGCGGCAAAACUUUGCUACCCACCCAAGAGCACAAAAGUAUGCAACCCAAAGUCACCGAUAAAGAGGACAUACAGUGCACAAUGUCCUGGAGGUUACACGAAUUUAUCACAAUCCGCAGUCAAAAUAUAUUUCAUAAAUAUUUACAUCUUCAAGGGAUUAUUAAUUCGCUUGUAAAUAUACGAAACGAACAAUUAAAACUGCAAAACAAUCGAUAGCACAUCGAUAUUUUCGAUAGUAAGUUUGCUUGACCUAUAAUAAGAAUUUGAAUACCUCAAAAUCAUUUUGGAAAGUAUUCAAAUAUUUAAACUGCAUCAUUUGCAACAGUGUGCUUGGCCGAAGGGGAAAGAUCAAGGGUGGGCGGGAUGCCAAAGCGAUUGAAGCGACUAUAAACUCAAUUAGCCAGCCCCCGGACUCCGAAUGGCGGCCAUAAAAGCGUUGAAGGAAUCGAAAUGAACUUGGCCAAAUGUCAUUAGCGCGGGCGGGAGGCGUGGCAGGCACAUUAAAUGUUAUUAACGCAUUCGCUUUUGUUGCACCAGCAGCAGUGCAGUUCGAUGGAAUAGUUAUCUAAUUUGAUAUGCCGGGCGAAAGGGGAGCUGGGGUAUAAAUGCAAGGGGCUUGCUGCCAUGCAGUUGUUCAGAAAAGGGGAAGAAAACUCCCCAGCAUUGUAACGUGACAAUGGACGCCAACACGUAGCGGAAAAUUGUGCAAAAGGAUCUGCAACUUUAAGGCGUGAGAUCCCGCAGCUAAACUGCAAAACUGCCUGAAGGUACGAAAAGUGCAGCAUUUACAUUCAUCAUCAUAAGUCACUGCCCGGACACAAAUGAAAUGAAAUAUCUGCAGAGGUGCCCGGAUGGUCCAGGAUAUUUUCGGUGAAUGGGUGUGGGCGGCAUCCCCAAAUAGAGCCAUUCAGCUAAGCCAGCAACACAACACAAAGUGCAUCCGCCGGGAGUCGGGAUCGGGCAGAGCAGGAAUUCUCACUUCCCCCAAACUAAUGGCAUCCUUCGCAGGACUCACAGGACUCCGCAGGAUUCCGCAGGACUCGCUGGAUGCAGCACGGCACUCACGUAGAGUAGCUGCAGCUCCGGCAUAUUUAAUAAACUCUAGCAAAUUAAGCGGCGCGGGAUGGAGGAUGCCAUAAAUCAACAGGUAAGAGGAGCGUGCGUCCACCUGGGAGGCAACGCCACCAUCGCAGUUCAUUAACAUUAGCCGGGCGCGGAUUUUCGAGGCAUAAGGGGCCAAGGACCCCGGCAGAUAAUUUGGCCAAUGCGAACCUUAACCAGCGCCAUUUAACCUGCGUUUGGAUAUAAAUACACUAUUGGUUUUGGGUUUCAUCAGUUGCCAAACAUUAAUUAUGGAAUGUAUUUGGAUGUGUUUUUCCAAAAAUGAUUACCAAAGUCUAAGAUUACACUUGCAAAGUCUUAAAGCCCUUUCGUUUCGACCUUAAGCCUAUGUAAUAAAGAGAUGAUGGACUUCCGAGCUGAGCUGUGAGCCACCUGUUGGCAAAUUGAUGGACGAAAAGUGGGAAAAGUUCAGCUGGAAAAGUAAUUUCGUUGGCAGCGCGCACAGGAAGCAGCCAGUUCCUGUUGCAGCCAAGUCAGUCAGCCACAUCCGGCGCAACUUUAAGCCGCAUUUCCGCUCAUGCAAUUUUAAUUUGUCAAAUGCAAGCGACGCGUUGAGGACGUGGAGGACGCUAAAAUUAACUGGAAAAUUUUACAAUCCUGGCGAGGCGAGGCAAGGCGACGCAGGAUUACAGAGCAGGACAUGGCAGCAGGAGUCGCUGCCGUAGCUGCCGAAAUGAGGAUGCCGACGAGCCACUCGAAUUGGACCAUUAGUUUCGACGGCAUUAGUUUGGCGCUUUCAUGGCCCAGACGAUGCAGACGAAUAAAUAAGAGACGAGCAGCGGGACGCAGAUGAAGACGGAGAUGGGAAUAGAUGUGGAUUAUCCAGGAGUGGGGACGGGAGUUCCGUGGUUCCCCCGCCCAGGACGAAGUGGACCGAGGCGGACCAGCGAGGAUCCCCUGGCGAAAUUAUGCAUGUAAUAAAAUGCGGCUGCCUCGACGGCAGCUGCAACAACCCGUGCACAGCCACGCCCAUACGCCCACUUAUGCCGCGAGCCAAAUUUAAGUGCAUUAACAUAAAGCGGUCGAGCCACAGUGGGAUCAAGGCUUUUGGAAAAAGUUGAAAUACAAAUAUUUAAAUGGCUUCAAUGAUUCCAAAAUUAUCUGCAAAAGUGUUUAAAAGUAUGCAACAAUUUUGAGUUCGAAAGCCCCACAUUCCGACUCAUUCCGAUGGAACAUUUUCCCAGCCCACUGUGCAUGUUAGCCCCAACAAGAUAAAUAAACUUUUGUGUGAAACCGUCUUGGAGGAGGGCAUGGGUUCCACUCCCCCUGAAAAGGGGGAAUUCGGCUGCUCUGAUGAGUGCAACGACUUGGCAGCAGCGCUAAGCGUCAGCAUCAUCGACACUUUUGGCAGGAAGCAUUCGCGGGGCUCAGACGUAUAGUUUAUAUAGCGCCGACGACUACGGGACAUGGCCAGGAAGCUCGUCUGGCUGGGAGUCUCCGGAGUGUGUGAGACAUUAACAGACUCGUAAACUGGCAGUUGCUUGUUAUGUUGAUUACACAACUCGUGCGGGCGUGGGAGCAAAUGAAAAUAAAGUUCGCCAGCCCGACUUGCACUUGAAAUCCACGCAGUAAAGGUAUUACCUUAAACUUGAAUACAAUAACUCCUUGCGUCGUUUUCAGCCAACGGUCUACAGAACUUUGAGUCUUAAUGAUUCCUCUUCUGUAUCUUGGGCUACACGAUUGAAGCGGUUUAAAGUCACCUCGCGUAGGCCAUCACCGAAGUAUGCAACACUUGGUGCCACGCCCCAUUGGUACGUGCCUGGCCAGGAUCACCCGCCCUUUCGACCCACAACACCCGCGACAGCACAACUGUCAGCUGCCCUUCGGAAAAGCUUCGAAGGAAACGGAACUAAAAGAGGAAACUUAAACAGAAACAAACAGCGGGAAACUAGCAACUGGCUUGUGGCAAGAGUUGAAAGUUGAAUGUCUGGCAAAUGCCGCGGCAAUGCCCCCAGAAUGCAGCGCCAGUGGAAAAUGCAUUUUCCGAAGGGGAACUUUUCACACGCAGCGCCAAAUCUGCCAAAGCCACUUUUCGGUAUUGUUUUUUGUUGCUUUCCAAAAUUUAUUGCAACACUCGCUGGAGGAGCUGCUAUACUUCACCCGCACCUCCAUCUCCAACUCCAACUCCACCUUCAUCCCUAAAAAUCCAAAGCGAUGCUGGCUUUAUCUCUUCGCUGUCUGUCUGUCAGAGGAUAUUUAUCUGGCACGUUAAGUUUACUUUUGCCCCCUUCGAUCCACUGCCACUUUCCUCGAACAUUUCCCUCGCUUUCCACCCAACCGCUCGUUUCAUAAUUUUUCGCCUCGCGGCCAAAUUGUCGUCUUUAUUUGCAGCAUGGAAAUGCUCGAGCGCAAUUUCCCAUUUCCAUUUCCAUUCCACUACACACACACACAUAUCCGAGCGGCAAACGCUGCCCGAUGCGAGAUUUUCCCGCAUGACAUUUGCGAUUUUCCGCACAUUUUGUACUUUAUUGAACUGUUUGUCACAUGACGUUUAGUAUUUUGCGAGCUGCGCCAGCUGCAGGCGAACACAACCCACAUGCACAGCAUGAAAGCGGGAGGAAUCGGCUAGGAUUGGGGUCCAACGAGGACGAGGAAGUACUCCUCCAACUUGAAAUCGGAUGAAACUUAAGGGAGCCUAAAAGUAACGAAGGUGCUUCCCCUUAAGGUGUCUAAGAGUAUGCAACAGUUAUUUGACGUUUAUAUUCCGAUUGAUAGCGAAUAAAAGGGGGGAUGGAUGGAGCCAGCUGACCCCCUUAUUACAAAGCCAUGUAAACUUGAUGAAAAUCAAAUGGAAAUAAAAACGGACAGCACUCAUAAACAAUAAUAUUGCGGGCAAGCUUUCUCGAACGGAAACUUUUUGGAAAAGCGGGAAAAAGGAAACUUCCACCAGAGCGGCGAAAGCAACUUAAUAAAAACAAAAAUGUAUGAAAUACUUUUACGACUUUCGAAGACAUUUUUACAACUUGCUGGCAAGUUUUGCUAACGAUAUGCGAGAUGCACACAGAACUCGGGAUCGCCAGCUGCAUCCCAGGACUCGAGCGUCCUGGUCAAAUGGAUACGUCGCAUCAUAAAACCGAAAGUCAUUUCGCGCAGAACGUGUCUACACAAAAUCCAGGAGCGGGAGAGCUGGCGAAUGUCCGGCCAAGAAGCCAAAGUCAUCGCAGCCAAUAAUAAUUCCAAUUGUAGUGCAGUGACAAUUUUCUGUUCCUUGGCUGCAAGGAUGCGCUCUUUUGGGCACUUUUGGGUACAUUGUACCCCGAACAAUGGUCAGCAGAAGACUUUUUAUUGCCCAGCGUUGGCAUUUUAAGUGCAGCCAGCCAAGGAGCACCAUCGGAGCACCAUCGGAGCACCAUCGCAGCUCCAUCGGCAGUGGCAACAUUAUUUGGCCAAUGUAGACGACAUGACGCGGCCAUUAAGAGCAACAAAUAAGCAAACAAUAACAAGAAGCCGCGCCCGAUGAGCUGGGGAGAAAUUAAGAAAAAAUGCUUACAGCAACACUUCCCCCCUCACGCUCUGUAAUCAAAGUAGUAGGACUUCAUUGCACAGAAAGAAAUAAGAGGUCAUUUCAUAUCGAAUUGACUCCUAUCUCUCGCAUGACUUUCAUAAAUUACAAAGAAUUCACAUUAAACUACUUCACAGUCGCUAGUUAUCUAGCCAAUAUAUCACUAUUUUCGUAUAGUUAAGUGCCACUGGCAUAAUUCCUUAGCAAACCUAUAUAAAUUCUAUUUUUAUAGAGAAAAGUGAAGUUACAAAAAAUAUUUGCUCUCUAUGGUCGGGCUAUUUAUCUAUCGAUCUGUUUGGAUAUUUCGACGCGAUAACGAUACUUUGGCUUAUGAAAAUUGAUUGCAAACGAGCUGGGCGCGUCUUCCAUUUCUAAGCAAGAUGGGUGGGAAUGGUUCUCUUGUGGCAUUGCUGAUAGUGAAGCAAUAAGGCGUAGCUGGAUUAUACAGAUUCACUAGCUCAGGCAUAAGAUAUGAAAUGCCGAAUAAAUAAACAAACAAAAUCUACGCGGAAACAUAAUUGAAUCAGCAAAAAACUCGUUGAAAUGAAGAGGUAGCGAUAUGAAAGUGCAGAUAGCGAUAGAUACAGAGAUUUCAGCUGUCUCGCUGCCUGACCAAUUCGUUUAGUUUCGCAAAAGCUAAUUAGCAACUAAAGUGAAAUUAAAGCAGAGCCAAGUCAAGCCAACGACUAAUGGUCUUUGUGUUGCAAAAAUGGGAAAAAGGGGAAGACAAGAGGAAGGUGCUACAACUAAUUAAAUGCAAUAAGCUAUGGCAACUGCUGGACGUGAACAGGAACUGCUGGGGAUUCCAGGAGUCAGGAUGCGGAGCACAGCACAGGACAGGUAACGCCGCCGGACGAGUGACAACUUUGUUUUGAUGUGACGGACUCUUCCGGCUUCCUUCCUGCCCUCCGCGUCCAUUGCAACCCACCAACUAACGACGAACGCGUUUUAAUUUGCACAUUAAAGUAAUUAGUUUAGCAUUA